ensembl:snRNA U4 U4 spliceosomal RNA
AGCUUUGCACAGUGGCAGUAUCGUAGCCAAUGAGGUUUACCUGAGGCGCGAUUAUUGCUAAUUGAAAAUUUUUCAUAAUAUACCUUUCCAUGAACUUUGUGUAGCAUGGAUCAUGGAAGUCAAGUUUUUUGGUUCGCUUCUAUGU